GACAGAGCUGCCAAGUUCGGAGAAACUCUGGGCGUAAUUUGCCGCCUCAGAGAAAAAAGGCAGCUUUCUACACUGCCAGGCACUGAUUGCACAACAGCCAGCCUAAGACUAGGCGGGGCCAUCUGCUGCGCACCGUCAUUCCGAACCCCCGAGAGCAGCGCGCGUGGGAAUAGACAGCCGGCGCUCCACGAAAGACACUGCCUACAUCGUAUUUCCGGCGGUUCUGCGGGCGUUCACCACGCGGCAGCCCGGACAGCGAGUUCUCCCGGAUCGCGGCGGGAAGCGCAGACCUCCGGAGUCCCGGAAGGGCGCACACCCAGCCCCCGGCCAUGGCUCCGGGACCCCAUCUUCCUCGUCGUCUUGAGUGUCGUGCUGUGGAUCAGUUCCUUAAAAAUGGACGACAUAUGAAUAAAGAAAAUAGGUCUGAAAGCAGGUCAAAAUCUGUCCCAGACAAUCCUGAUUCCCUAGGAGAAUUCCAGAAAACGCAUCCUCGGCCCAUACUUGAAUCAUUCGCUGUCCUCAAAUGAACAAGGCUCUUUUACUCCUCCUCUGUGGACUCCUGGCCAAAAAUGCUCUCGCUCUGCCACUUGAAAGUCUUCUUCUAUCCUUUAAGGUCAGCUCAGAUGUACUCUGGUCCAUAAAGCCCAUGGGAGAAAAUGUCUCAUGAUUGUUUUCCAAAAUCUUUCUGUAUAUGCCAUGUAUAUAUGCAUAGGCAUAUCUAUAUGUUUUGACACAAAAGACAUACUAUGUAGUACACUCUUCCCAGUGUUUCUAAUAUAUUUUAAUACGUUUUCCUUACUUUUUCAAAACUGAUAAUUUUACCCAGGCAGAAUUUGAAUUGUUCAUAAGCUUCCUCUCCCCCCCCCCCGUAAUCAUUGAAAUUGUUAUUAAACCUACCUUAAGGUUUAAAAAGUAAUCUGGGAGAAAAUGACUUAUUGUACGUAUCCAGUGAACUUCUUCUAAAGAGAGCAUUUCGCAAGCACAGUCAUCCCUCGGUGUCCCCAGGAAACUGGUUCCAGGAGUCCCCACACAAGGUUGGGCCAGGGUUGGGUUCCCAGCCGGCGG
rnacentral:lncRNA from 1 species